rnacentral:rRNA from 1 species
UGGAGGAAAGCAGGGGAUCGUAAGACCUUGCGCUUUUGGAGCGGCCGAUGUCUGAUUAGCUAGUUGGUGGGGUAAUGGCCUACCAAAGCUUCGAUCAGUAGUUGGUCUGAGAGGACGGCCAGCCACACUGGGACUGAGACACGGCCCAGACUCCUACGGGAGGCAGCAGUGGGGAAUUUUGGACAAUGGGCGCAAGCCUGAUCCAGCCAUGCCGCGUGAGUGAAGAAGGCCUUCGGGUUGUAAAGCUCUUUCAGCCGGGAAGAAAAGGCUGCGAUUAAUAAUCGCAGUUCAUGACGGUACCGGAAGAAGAAGCACCGGCUAACUACGUGCCAGCAGCCGCGGUAAUACGUAGGGUGCGAGCGUUAAUCGGAAUUACUGGGCGUAAAGGGUGCGCAGGCGGUUUUGUAAGUCAGAUGUGA